AUACGUAGGGUGCGAGCGUUGUCCGGAAUUACUGGGCGUAAAGAGCUCGUAGGUGGUUUGUCGCGUCGUCUGUGAAAUUCCGGGGCUUAACUCCGGGCGUGCAGGCGAUACGGGCAUAACUUGAGUACUGUAGGGGAGACUGGAAUUCCUGGUGUAGCGGUGAAAUGCGCAGAUAUCAGGAGGAACACCGGUGGCGAAGGCGGGUCUCUGGGCAGUAACUGACGCUGAGGAGCGAAAGCAUGGGUAGCGAACAGGAUUAGAUACCCUGGUAGUCCAUGCCGUAAACGGUGGGCGCUAGGUGUAGGGGUCUUCCACGACUUCUGUGCCGUAGCUAACGCAUUAAGCGCCCCGCCUGGGGAGUACGGCCGCAAGGCUAAAACUCAAAUGAAUUGAAGGGG
rnacentral:rRNA from 1 species